AGCGAACGCUGGCGGCAGGCUUAACACAUGCAAGUCGAACGGGCACUUCGGUGCUAGUGGCAGACGGGUGAGUAACGCGUGGGAACGUGCCUUUCGGUUCGGAAUAAUCAAGGGAAACUUGGACUAAUACCGGAUACGCCCUUCGGGGGAAAGAUUUAUCGCCGAAAGAUCGGCCCGCGUCUGAUUAGCCAGUUGGUGAGGUAAAGGCUCACCAAGGCGACGAUCAGUAGCUGGUCUGAGAGGAUGAUCAGCCACAUUGGGACUGAGACACGGCCCAAACUCCUACGGGAGGCAGCAGAGGGGAAUAUUGGACAAUGGGCGCAAGCCUGAUCCAGCCAUGCCGCGUGAGUGAUGAAGGCCUUAGGGUUGUAAAGCUCUUUUGUCCGGGAAGAUAAUGACUGUACCGGAAGAAUAAGCCCCGGCUAACUUCGUGCCAGCCGCCGCAGUAACAC
rnacentral:rRNA from 1 species